UACGAAGGGGGCUAGCGUUGUUCGGAAUUACUGGGCGUAAAGGGCGCGCAGGCGGCUCUUCAAGUCAGAUGUGAAAUCCCCGGGCUCAACCUGGGAACUGCGUUUGUGACUGUAUGACUAGAGUACGGUAGAGAGGGGUGGAAUUCCUGGUGUAGCAGUGAAAUGCGUAGAUAUCAGGAGGAAUACCGAUGGCGAAGGCAGGUCUCUGGGCUGACACUGACGCUCAUGCACGAAAGCGUGGGGAGCAAACAGG
rnacentral:rRNA from 1 species